UGGCCAGACUCCUACGGGAGGCAGCAGUGGGGAAUAUUGCGCAAUGGGCGAAAGCCUGACGCAGCGACGCCGCGUGAGGGAUGAAGGUCUUCGGAUCGUAAACCUCUGUCAGCAGGGAAGAACGGUCACUGUGCUAAUCAGCAGUGAAUUGACGGUACCUGCAAAGGAAGCACCGGCUAACUCCGUGCCAGCAGCCGCGGUAAUACGGAGGAUGCGAGCGUUAUCCGGAUUUAUUGGGUUUAAAGGGUGCGUGGCGGGUCCGUUAAGUCAGCGGUAAAAUUGCGGGGCUCAACCCUGUCGAGCCGUUGAAACUGGCAGACUUGAGUUGGCGAGAAGGACGCGGAAUGCGCGGUGUAGCGGUGAAAUGCAUAGAUAUCGCGCAGAACUCCGAUUGCGAAGGCAGCGCACCGGCGCCCUACUGACGCUCAGGCACGAAAGCGUGGGGAUCGAACAGGAUUAGAUACCCGCGUAAGC
rnacentral:rRNA from 1 species